rnacentral:rRNA from 1 species
CCUUGUACACACCGCCCGUCAAACCAUGAGAGCUGUUUGUACCCGAAGCUAUUUUAGCUAACCCGUUAAGGGGUGCGAAUAACUAAGGUAUGAGGAGUGAUUGGGGUU